rnacentral:misc_RNA from 1 species
GGCCAAAUACUGUACCUCGCUGGGUACCCCCUAAUAAAGCUCCAUUUACAAUGCAUGUAGCAAAUCCUCCAUCCAGAUACAAUAGUGCACCACCUGCUCUUGCGUUCUGUGCUUCCCCUAAGUAUUCUAAUGUGGAUGCCCAUGUAAAGACUUCUUCUGAUACUGCUGCUGCUGGAGAUCUAGCUUCAAAUGAGCUUACUCCCCCUCCAGUUGUAUCACCACAUUUUGGCCCAGCAAAAGUUGUGCCUCCUUGUCCCCCAACUUUACCUCCACCUCCAAUUUAUUCUAGCAAUGCAUGUCCACCGAAGACUGCAGUUAAAGUGCCUGCUCCACCUCCACCUCCACCUCCACCUCCA